rnacentral:lncRNA from 1 species
UAAAAAAAUAUACAGUGAAAGCUGCUGCCAAAUUCCUCCCGAAACAAAAGUUUGUAAAAAUAUUAUGGAUGUUGUGGCAGCCAUUACAGUGUAACUGAAGACAGGGGAGACUUCUAGAAUUGCUUCAGAAGGUGGCGAGAACAAUGAGGUGAGUGUGUUUGAAGUGAGGGGACUAUUUUGAGGGACAUGAAGGGC